UACAGAGGGUGCAAGCGUUAAUCGGAAUUACUGGGCGUAAAGCGUGCGUAGACGGUUAUUUAAGUCAGGUGUGGAAGCCCCGGGCUCAACCUGGGAAUUGCAUUUGAGACUGAAUAGCUAGGGUGCGGAAGAGGGAAGCGGAAUUUCCGGUGUAGCGGUGAAAUGCGUAGAUAUCGGAAGGAACACCAGUGGCGAAAGCGGCUUCCUGGUCCAGCACCGACGUUCAGGCACGAAAGCGUGGGGAGCAAACAGG
rnacentral:rRNA from 1 species